UACAAAUAUUUUCACCGUAUAGUUUUCGGUUCAGUGUAACAAUUAGCCUGAAUUACUUGUUUCAGUUUGGUUAAUUGAAUCCAUUUUAUAUUUUGAAUUUACACGUAAUGGCUGCUGGUACUUGUUUAAUAUGUGUUCAGAAUACCUACGAUGAUGAUAUUCAUGUACUUAUUAUUUCGAUUUGAUGUGCUGCGAAUGCGAAAGACGCGAAAGUUUAGAUAGCAUUAUUCAAUCAAUGUCUUCAUCCUGAAUUCAGCGGGAGAUAUCUUCAAGCCAUGCUAAAAGCAAUAAAUCGCAAUAAUACCUUACGAAGAACUUGCUUCCAUCGAUUCAAAGUGACGAAUAAUUUCUAGUAGGUAUCGAUGUUCGUUUGCAGUAGAAGAAUAAUUUUGAGUACUGGAAGAAUGAAUUCAAACUAAAUAUCAGAUUUUCACUAUCCAUCGCCUGGAAAAGCGCAUCGUUCAUGUAUUCAAAUUUGGCGCCUCCGGUAUAAAUUGCUGCAAAGGAAAUUCAUAUCUGGUUACCAAACUUUCUUCAAAAAAAAAAAAAAAUAUUACAAGUACCUACCUAAUUACAUACAUUAUAUUUCGUUUUUUCUCAUAAUCUCU